AGGACGAACGCUGGCGGCGUGCUUAACACAUGCAAGUCGAACGAGGUCCAAGCAGUCGCAAGACUGCGGAAGACCGAGUGGCGAACGGGUGCGUAACACGUGAGGAACUUGUCCCGGUCUCUGGAAUAACAGGUGGAAACACCUGCUAAUACCGGAUGCCGUCGGACCGUCGCAUGGCGGUCUGACGAAAGGGUUACCGGAUCGGGAGAGCCUCGCGGCCUAUCAGCUUGUUGGUGAGGUAACGGCUCACCAAGGCAUCGACGGGUAGCUGGUCUGAGAGGAUGAUCAGCCACACUGGGACUGAGACACGGCCCAGACUCCUACGGGAGGCAGCAGUGGGGAAUCUUGCACAAUGGGCGAAAGCCUGAUGCAGCAACGCCGCGUGCGGGAAGAAGGCCCUAGGGUUGUAAACCGCUUUCAGCAGGGAAGAAGAUGACGGUACCUGUAGAAGAAGGUGCGGCCAACUACGUGCCAGCAGCCGCGGUAA
rnacentral:rRNA from 1 species